UACGAAGGUCCCAAGCGUUAUCCGGAUUUAUUGGGUUUAAAGGGUGCGUAGGCGGGCUAUUAAGUCAGUGGUGAAAGCCCCAAGCUUAACUUGGGAACUGCCAUUGAUACUGAUGGUCUUGAGUACAUUUGAGGUGGGCGGAAUGUGUCAUGUAGCGGUGAAAUGCUUAGAUAUGACACAGAACACCGAUUGCGAAGGCAGCUCACUAAACUGUAAACUGACGCUGAUGCACGAAAGCGUGGGGAGCAAACAGG
rnacentral:rRNA from 1 species